AUACUAUAUACUGUAAAGUUGGCGCUGCAAAUCUACGUGCACUCCUGACUGUCGUCUAUCUAGCCGUGUGUGUGUGUGUGUGUGUGUGUGUGUGUGUGUGUCUGGCUGUGUGUGUCUGGCUGUGUGUAUGUGUCUGUCUGUGUUAGUUGGCCACUUAACCACUUCAUUGCUAUGACUUUGUAUUUGUCCUAUCUUGGCCUGCAUUUGCUCCGUGUGUAUCUGUGUGUAUCUGUGUGCUGCGUGCGAAGACAUUGCGGUGCGGUCGGAGUUGGCAUCAGCAUCAGCAUCGUUGGAUCGUUGUGCAAGAAAUCAGAAAUGUAGAGGAUUCAAAAGCAUUCUCAAGCUGUAACUACUCGUAUGUUGUAUUUAGAU